rnacentral:pre_miRNA from 1 species
UACCCUGUGGAACCGGGCUUUUGUAGUUAAGUUCAGAAGCUCGUCUCUACAGGUACCU